rnacentral:lncRNA from 13 species
AUGGAUGUAAGAAGAGAAGUUUACAGAGGUCAAGCCGCACAGCGAGUCAGAGGUAUUAGAACAUUUUAUCACUGUAUAAUUUGCCAUCUAGUGACUGGGGGAGCUUAUGUCCCAUGGAAUGCUAAUACACACUCGUACCAUCUCACCAUCAAUUAGGGUUUUUCACAGUGGCUCCCUGUGUGGCUUUUUCUUUUGAGACAAAGAUAGGGACAGAUGUCCACUUAAGUCUUUCGAAACUUUAAGAUGUUACACAAGAGAGCUUGUGUUGUUUGUCCCUGCCUUUAGCAUUUUAUUUCUCACAUAUUGAAUUACGCAUUUGUUUGAGAGCACCAAGGCAUUUAUUAAUUAUCUAAGCCAAAGUCUCAUUUUUAGUAAAUGGCACCUUACACAGUGGGGCCAUGUCAUGCAGGAGCUUUGACCAGGGAACAAAUGUCAGUGUGGUGAGGAGCCUGCUGGGUGUUUAAUAACUACAAAUGAAGUGCACUGUUAGUGUUAUAAAGCAUCAUUCCAUCACCCAGUAGGUUUUCUUUGUAAGUAAAGAUAAAAUGACUUGGACAAUCUGUACUAAAUCCAUCAGUUUUAACUGUAAAUGCACCAGGGAAGGCAAAACUUCUUCAAAUUUAAUGGAUGUUGGAGAGGAAAGAACAAAGUGGUUAUCUGACUGGAAAUAAAAUAAUUGCUAUUUAAUCA